UGUUGACAAGCUGUAAAGAAGGAAGUCAAAGGUGGGGAAGCUGGAGCUCCAGGUGUUGCCCCCCAUACACACCACAAGGGAAUCCCCCACCAGGUUGUAGCCUUUAUCACACUGGAACUCCACAGCGUGCCCCGCGUUCAGGUUGUGCUCUUGUAAUUUGCCGUACUGCAUCUGUUUCGGGCCGUCGCAGCCUUUGACCACUAAAAUGAGAGCAAAUGAUGGAGGUUUCAAAUCCCGAUUCAGAAAGGAGAGCCAACAAAUAUACUUUUUAAUGAAAGGCUUGCGGGCCGUUCAUCCGUACCUUCACAUGUUGGUGCCGGCAGGCUCCACGUGCCGUUGGCUAGACAGAUGAGAGCUUUGGGGCCGACCAGCUGCAGGCCGGCAUUACAUAUGUAACUGGCAUUGUUUAGCUGCUGAACGACUAAAACUCUACCAAAGGAAACUCGUACCUUCAUGUCGAAGCCCGGGAGGCACGAGUACAUGACAAAGUCUCCAUAGUUAGAGCUGCCCCCCUGGGCGACACCGUGAAGAAGAGGAGGCGGUUUCUCACAAACCACCACCUUGCAGGAAACCGAGGAGAUGCUCGGAGCCCAGCCUCCGCCCAGCUGACGGCACAACACAACAGAGAGUGGAGACCAGGAGGGCAGGAGAGGGUGAUGGUUCCCUUCACAGGGGUGAGCUCCUUCCCGGUGAUUACCAGAUUGGGGCUGGAGAAGUUGGCGGGGAGCAGGCAGGGGGUCGGGCUGCACCGAACGCUGUGUUUGGACCAGGUGCCGUCACUCUGGCAGGAAAGAGAGCUGGUCUGUGUCGCUAAAUUAUAGCCAUCCUCACACCUGGAGAGCGAGAGAAGAGGGGACACACGCGGGAGUGUAAGUGGACUAAAGCUUCAUCUGAUACCACAAACCUACUGGUGCUACUGGACUUCAGAAACGGCAGAAAAAUAAGGUUUUAACACUAAUGACCGUAAGAAUGGCAAUAUUUACCUGUAUUUGAUCUGGUUUGGGAAGGUGAAGGCGUCUCCGAUCACCUGAGCGUGGGCUACAAUCGGAGGUUUCCCACAGAUCAUAGGCUCACAGCUGAUUCUGGGUUCCCCCCACCUGCUGUCUCUUCCACAGGAGAGGUUUGGAUACCCCUUUGGCUGAUAGCCGGGCCGACACCUGUAUAUAACCGUGUCUGUGAAGGUGGUGCUGGCGCCCUGCAGGACAGCAUGAGGGACAGUGGGCGGGGCGACACUGCACCUCCCUCGGCCACACACUGGCACACCGGGGCUCCACACCCCUCCCUUCUCGCACACCGCCUGAGAGGGACCCAGCAGCUUGGUGCCGUCGCCACACUGGAAGUGAACUCGGUCGCCGCAGGCGCGUUCGCGACCGAGAACCAACCCGAAUUUCAGCACUGGGAGCGCGCAGACACAGGGACGACACUGGGGCACCGCGCCCACCCAGAAGCCUUCAGCCGAGCACCGCAGGAUGGGAUCCCCGACUACCUCGUAGCCAUCGAAGCAGACGUACUCCACCACGUCAUCGUAGUUGAAGCUGGAGCCGUUCAGGAAGCCGUGGCUGAUGUCCUCAGGCGGAUCACAACUUAUGAUGUCACAGCGAGGUGCAGGUUUGUCCCAAAGUCCAUCUGACUGACAUAUGUGCGUUGGAUCUCCGUUAAGUGCGUAUCCCUCAUCACAUUCAUAGCUCAACUUGCUGUUGAAGCCGAACUCUGACCCCAAAACAUGCCCAUUGGGUAUUGGUGAGGGUUUGCCACAGUGGGCAGGUACACAGGUGGGAGACCCGUGGCUCCAGGUGCUAUCAGCCUGACAAACACUGAUAGAUUUCCCUUGUAACAGGAAACCAGGCUGACAGCUCAGUUCUAUCUCAUUAUUAUAGCUGUAUUUCUCUCCUUGAACAGUAAUAUCACUGGGGACUUUGGGGGGACCACAAGAUACUGGCUCACACCAAGGCUUCUGUCCAUUCCACUUCUUAUCUGCCCGGCAGGCAAUGGUGUCGCUACCCUUCAAGACAAAUCCAGGACUACACUCAUAGCGCAAGACCUCAGGAUACACAAAAGCACCGCUGUGAGCUGUGCCAUUAGCGACAGCGCCUGGGUCGCCGCAGGAGACGGGCCGACAAACCGGGGCGCUAUUCGUCCACAGUCGUCCUGAUACACACUGCCUCACAGGCUCCCCCUCCAGCUCAUAUCCGUCCUCACAAGUAUACGUGACGGUACUGCCGAGGGAGGUGUCGGUCACAUUCACCCAGCCGUGCUCUGGACCGGGUGGUGUUUCACACUCCGCGGGGACACAGGACGGCGCGGUCCCAUUCCAGCCUCCGUCCUCCUGACACACUAACCUAGUGGGGCUUGUGAUGUCGUAGCCUUUGUGGCAACGGUACUCGAUGAACGUCCCAUGCAGGAAGCUCAAGUCCGUAGGCGAGGCUAAUGUUCCAGUGUCUUUGGCAGCAGCGUCGGUCACCCUCACAUAUUCCCCAAAGUCAAUGUGAGGAGGCAAGCCGCAGUCCGAGGGCACGCAGACGGGCACGGCGCUAGACCAGCCGAACUCCUCACAGGUCAAAUGGUCCUGGCCUACUAGCUGGAAGCCAGGAAAGCAGCUGUAGAAAAUGGUGACACCGAAACUGUGAUCCUGGCCCUCGACGAAGCCACUUUCAAUGGGUUGGGGCGGAGUGCAGGAAAUCUGCACGCAAGCAGGUGGCUUAAUGUCCCACUCCCCACUGGCCAGGCACUUCAGAGUCUCUGGGCCUUGAAGACGAUAACCACGACGGCAGGAAUAGGUGGCAGUGUGACCGAACUGGAGUUUUGUAUAAACUACUUUUCCAUUGGCUGUUUGUUUCGGGAUUGAGCAUUCGAUUGGGCGGCAGGAAGGCACCCCUCCAAUCCAGAGUCCCGUCUCUCCACAGAGGACGGUGGAGUUGCCCACUAAAUUAUAUCCGGUCUUACAGCUGUACAGUGCCUUGCUGGUGUACAUCAGACCUUGGACAUCAACGAUACCAUUCGAAAUCUCCACAGGCUGAGGGCAUUCAACAGGGAUACACUCUGGGUAAGGACUGCUCCACUGCCCGCUAGCCAGGCACGAUACAGCGCCUUCUUUUCUUAAAGUAAAGCCAUCCAUGCACGUGUAGCUCACCACGGAGCUGAAAGGGAACGGAGAUGAGGACGAGGAAGGCCCGCCGAACGACACUUCAGGCAGUGGGCCGCAAAACACCUGCUUGCACACCGGAAAGGUCUCGUUCCACUCUUGGGAUGGGGUGCAGCGGAGGAUCCGGGCCCCCUCCAGAACGUAGCCGUCCUCGCAGGACAAUUCCACGGUUCCAGAUUCAUAGUCCAGGCCCUUCAGGACCAGGUGGUUCUCCUCCAGCGGCGGCUCUGGACACUGCACCGGUGAGCAGCGAGGACGCCUCGACUUAUCCCACCUUCCGUACUUCAGGCAGGUCCAGGUGGCAUCCCCGGUCAGGUCGUAACCCUCAUCACAGACAUACUGCACUUUUCGGCCCACCUGGAAAUCAGACCCCCUGUAAUGCCCAUGGACGAUGUUGGGAGGAGGGUCACAGGUCAAAAGGACACAGGUAGGUGGGUUGAUGUUGGACCACUGGCGGUUGGCUUGGCAAACUCGGUCUGAAUGCCCAACCAGUUGGUACCCUGCGUUACAGGCGUAUGUCAUCUUGCUGUUGAAGGUGAAUCGACCUCUGACCUGUAGGGGAAUUAACAGGGAUACAUUAUUAAACAUAUUUACAGUCACUCAUAAAGAAAAGGUGACUUAUUAGAACAGGUCUGAAACGUUUCCUGGAAACAAAGCUGCAAUGUGGUCGUAAUUAUAAAGAAAAAUAGUUCGAAAACAGUUAUUUGAGUUUGAAAGCGGGAUGUGGCUAACCUGGAUGUAUCCAUUCCUGAGUAAAGGAGGUGGAGAGCAGGAAACAGGUACACAGGUCGGCAAAGCUCCUCCCCACUCUCCGUUGGCCUUGCAGGUCCUCCUCUUCUCCCCUCGGAUCAGGAAGCCUUUGUCGCAGCUGUACGCCACCACAGCUCCAAAACUAUAGUUCGUCCCACUCACGUAUCCUCGAUCGAUGCUCUCGGGCUUGGAGCACCUCACCGGCACACAGCCGAUAUCGUACGGCGAAGGCUCCCACGCUCCUCCCAUCAGACAUCUCAGUGUGGCUGUGGUGUUGAGCAUGAAGCCCUCCUCACAUUUAUAGCUCACUUCAGUGUUGCUGGCAUAUUUAGGUUUGUUGACUGAAUCUAAAAUGGCAUGUGGUAGUUCAGGUGGACGCAGGCAGAAGUUCGCGAUGCAGCGAGGGGCCUCCGUGCCACCGGGGGGCGUCCACACACCCUGAGCGUUACACACCAUCUUGGAGUUGUUCCCGGCAGUGUAUCCAUCGGUGCAGUAGUAGUUAGCGGUGUCUCCAAACAGCUGGUGGCUCUCAUAGGGUUCGGCAUGGUCGAUGGCCGGCGGGGGGCCACAGGAGCGGGGGACACACUGGGCAGAGCUGUCACUCCAUUGGCCACUUGGCAGACAUUCUCUGGUCUCUGGGUUAAUUAGAGUGUAGCUGUGGAGGGCAAAGAAAGUCACGGCUCAGUUUAACCGGAUAACAUUUUACUUUCCAUUGACAAAGUAGAACCACAUUUACCCUUCUUUGCAGACAUAGUGCACCGUGUUUCCCAGUUCAAAGUUCUCUCCGACGGUCACGGCGUCUCUCAGGGCCGGCGGCUCGCUGCACAGGACGUUCACACAGCGGGGGGCGGGCCGGCUCCACUCGCCUGUGGCUUCACAAACCACUUCCCCGGAGCCCUGCGGCCUUCACAGCAACACAACUACUUUAUUUACACGCUCACACGACUAGAAUCACAGGGUCACAGGGAUUCAUAGAAUCUGACACGUGAAAUAAAGACAAGUGACACAUCUAUACAGUAUAAAAAUAUACAUUUAUACAGUUAUAUAUAUAUAUAUAUAUAUAUAUAUAUAUAUAUAUAUAUAUAUAUCUUGUUUCAGAUGAAAUGGGGUGUUUUAUGACUGAUUCUGCAAAUGUAGUCAUCUGGGGUUUGGUGCAGUUACUAUAAGUACUUCAUGUGUAUUUUAAUGUAUUUUGGGCUGUUGUAUUUUGUUUUACGACAGCAAUUCUUUUCCUAAUUCAGCUGUGUCAUGAAGCCCUUGUUUAAAACAAAUUAAAUGAUGGAUAGAAGCAGCAUUUACUAAAUCAACUGAAAGGAUAGUGAGUGGAGAACAAGGCGGAUGACAAUAAUGUAUCAGUACCUGUAUCCCUCAGAGCAGGUGUAUGUGACAGUGGACUGGUAAGUGUCCGUGUUGAGAUUGUAGUUGGCGUUCACGACAGUGGGAGGGCCCCCGCAGGUCACUGGGUGACAGAUAGGUGGCGUCCCGCUCCACCUCAGACUAGUGAGACACUGGAACUCAUAAGGGAUCGGAGGCAGGAAGCCCUGCUUACAGCUGAGGAGAAGGACAACAGAGUGAGGCGCACACUCCACUCAACACAGGUGAAGUUGUUUCCCUUCAUGACGGAGUUCUCUGGGACUGAUGGCAUCGGGCAGGAGAGGGCUGAAGAGCAACGACACAGGGGUGAUUAGUAACGGCUGUUUUCCAUCGUUGUCGUGUUCAACCAGGAGGCAUAAAAUGACUGAAUGCAGAUGUUUCUUUCUUUGUCUCCGGAGUAAAACAUUGUGCACAUUGUAAUGAGGAGAGACGCCUGUCAGUGUUAAUCUUCUUCGAGGAUGAAUGCCAGAUCACAUUUUACACUAAUAGGAUAAAAGAGCGCACAGGAAAGUGUCUACGUGGAUAGAAGCCAACGAGGCCCGAGAGAACGUGUUAAAGGGGUACUUUAGUAAUUAAAUAUUGCACAAGUUUGAGGACCCCCAAAAAGUAAGGUCAACAUUAAAGCAACAGAGACACCAGCUGUUUGGAGACGCACUUCAGGUAUAUGCCCAUGUCUUUGAAACUCCACCACAUAUUUGAUCCGUUAUAAAUUUGACGUCCUUUUCAUACGUGACGUUGCUGGCUUCAUCGAUCAGUGAAAGGAUUUUUAAUUUUGUUAUUCAGAUAGAUUCCAUACUCAGAUGGCACUGCAGCACUCUUUAAUAACAAUGGAAGAUGGACAUUUGUGUGAGCUGUAGCCACAUUAUGAACCAUUCAUGUGUAUUGCCGUCUGUAAGACACCAGGAAACAAUUCAACGGAAAGUCAGUUCCUCUUUCUCUGUGAGGAAGAAUGUGUCUGAGAGCCAAGAUGGAGGCGCUACGGUGGUCAGGCCUUUCAGCUGCACAGUGGAGGACAAAAACACUGCUGCACAAUCAUCACCCCGUCCCAGCCCGUUGCAUAAUGUGUGUUUGUCAUGUACAUGCGUGUGUGCAAAUGUUUGUACUAUUUGCAUUUGUGUGUGGAAUAUGCAAACAUACAUGUUAAAUAUACAAAUACAUAUCCCUGUGGGCUUUUGUGUGUUUGUAUAUUAAUUCUCCUAUCUGCAUAGUAAUGAGAUACUGUGAAUGCAUCUGUGCAGUUUCAAUUGUGUAUUAGAUCCUAUUGGCUCUAAUAGCUGGAUGCUUUGAAUAGGAAACCCCUUCAUCAUGUAAUGAACUCCUUUCCAUUGAGGUUGUCCUUUGAGCUACUCAAAAUGUGAGCGUUUGAAUGUGAAUAAACAUUUACGUAUAUUUAUGUUUCAUGUAAGCCUUACAUCAAUCUAUGACAUUUAUGUUAUGCUAUGUAACU